AAAUAUGGUAUUGAUUCAUAACAAAGAGAGAUUAAAGAAUUGAGAAACAGUGCAGUUUAUUUCUUGAAGUUCUUUUUUUUUUUUAAGGAGAAAAUAGUAUGCUAUCUAUUUCAUUCAUUGAAAUAAUGAACUGGGCUAUAGAUGUGAGGGAACAUGGGCCUCGAGGGUUAAAAAAAAAAAAAAUUCAAUCGAUCCGGUUACCUGGCAAGAGAAGAUCCCAAAGCUUCAACAACUGCGUAAACUUAUGGACUGCUAAAACCGAAUCUAGCUGAAUCUUUCUAAAAAUCAAAUCGUUUCUGAUAUUUCAAGUGACCCACAAGCAAGCUACUAAUACGUGGUAAUAAUGCAAAUUAACAACUAAAAU
rnacentral:lncRNA from 1 species